ACGCGUGAGUAACCUGCCUUUCAGAGGGGGAGUAACGUUCUGAAAAGAAACGCUAAUACCGCAUGAGACUACAGAGCUGCAUGGCUCAGUGGUCAAAGGAGCAAUCCGCUGAAAGAUGGACUCGCGUCCGAUUAGAUAGUAGGCGGGGUAACGGCUCACCAAGACCGCGAUCGGUAGCCGGACUGAGAGGUUGAACGGCCACAUUGGGACUGAGACACGGCCCAGACUCCUACGGGAGGCAGCAUG
rnacentral:rRNA from 1 species